AACUACAAGCACAUAGAUAUGUGCUAUUCAAUUGUUCUUAUGUCGAUCCAUACCUUAGAGCUCAUGCUGAAGAGAUCAUCAAAAAAGGUACUAGACAUAGAGCCAGACAUAGAGAUGUUGAGAAAAUCCAAAAUGAGAAGUUCCAUCUAUGGUUUAGAAGUCAUAUAAUGCAGUUAGAGAGUGAGAAUGGUAUUCAUGGUGUUAAAGAUGACAUUAGAUGGCUAGCUCGUGGCCCGGUUGAAGCUGCAAAAAGGUAC